UAAGGUAUAGCUCAAUAGGCAGAGUGUGUGCUUAGCAUGCACAAGGUCCUGGGUUCAAUCCCCAGUACCUCCA
rnacentral:tRNA from 1 species